GAUGAACGCUGGCGGCGUGCCUAAUACAUGCAAGUCGAGCGAACGGACGAGAAGCUUGCUUUUCUGAUGUUAGCGGCGGACGGGUGAGUAACACGUGGAUAACCUACCUAUAAGACUGGGAUAACUUCGGGAAACCGGAGCUAAUACCGGAUAAUAUUUUGAACCGCAUGGUUCAAAAGUGAAAGACGGUCUUGCUGUCACUUAUAGAUGGAUCCGCGCUGCAUUAGCUAGUUGGUAAGGUAACGGCUUACCAAGGCAACGAUGCAUAGCCGACCUGAGAGGGUGAUCGGCCACACUGGAACUGAGACACGGUCCAGACUCCUACGGGAGGCAGCAGUAGGGAAUCUUCCGCAAUGGGCGAAAGCCUGACGGAGCAACGCCGCGUGAGUGAUGAAGGUCUUCGGAUCGUAAAACUCUGUUAUUAGGGAAGAACAUAUGUGUAAGUAACUGUGCACAUCUUGACGGUACCUAAUCAGAAAGCCACGGCUAACUACGUGCCAGCAGCCGCGGUAAUACGUAGGUGGCAAGCGUUAUCCGGAAUUAUUGGGCGUAAAGCGCGCGUAGGCGGUUUUUUAAGUCUGAUGUGAAAGCCCACGGCUCAACCGUGGAGGGUCAUUGGAAACUGGAAAACUUGAGUGCAGAAGAGGAAAGUGGAAUUCCAUGUGUAGCGGUGAAAUGCGCAGAGAUGUGGAGGAACACCAGUGGCGAAGGCGACUUUCUGGUCUGUAACUGACGCUGAUGUGCGAAAGCGUGGGGAUCAAACAGGAUUAGAUACCCUGGUAGUCCACGCCGUAAACGAUGAGUGCUAAGUGUUAGGGGGUUUCCGCCCCUUAGUGCUGCAGCUAACGCAUUAAGCACUCCGCCUGGGGAGUACGACCGCAAGGUUGAAACUCAAAGGAAUUGACGGGGGCCCGCACAAGCGGUGGAGCAUGUGGUUUAAUUCGAAGCAACGCGAAGAACCUUACCAAAUCUUGACAUCCUUUGACAACUCUAGAGAUAGAGCCUUCCCCUUCGGGGGACAAAGUGACAGGUGGUGCAUGGUUGUCGUCAGCUCGUGUCGUGAGAUGUUGGGUUAAGUCCCGCAACGAGCGCAACCCUUAAGCUUAGUUGCCAUCAUUAAGUUGGGCACUCUAAGUUGACUGCCGGUGACAAACCGGAGGAAGGUGGGGAUGACGUCAAAUCAUCAUGCCCCUUAUGAUUUGGGCUACACACGUGCUACAAUGGACAAUACAGAGGGCAGCGAAACCGCGAGGUCAAGCAAAUCCCAUAAAGUUGUUCUCAGUUCGGAUUGUAGUCUGCAACUCGACUACAUGAAGCUGGAAUUGCUAGUAAUCGUAGAUCAGCAUGCUACGGUGAAUACGUUCCCGGGUCU
rnacentral:rRNA from 1 species